rnacentral:lncRNA from 1 species
GACUUUUUAUUUUCUUUCUUUUUUGCUUCAGCUCUUUCACUUUGGUUUAAAGCUGCCUUCUGCUGGCACGGAUUGGGCAGUUAAGAACGAAAAAGGCACUGGCCGCUUGAAGACUCCCAUUGUUGCGGGAAAGCAGAGGACCAGAAAGACCAAUGGGUGGAGCAGGAGGAUUUUAUUAAGGGUCAAGCCUGCAAUACCUAAAGCUCCAGACCUGGAACCCAAAGCUCCCAUCAGUCGCUACCCUGUGAACCUGUGGAGGAUCUGAAGUACCUGUUUAAAAGGCAUCCAAAAGAUAGAAUCUAUCAAGCUACAAAUGGCUAUGUUGCCUGAAGCCCCAGACAUCAUCCUACAAGAAAUAAGUCCAGACUUCUUAAUUUCCCCCUGGAUAGAGCAGGGUCUUGUUGAACUGGCUAGUGCUUCAACAACAAUGCUAAAUAAUAAAGGAUCUAACAAUAUUUCUGCUUUAAAUUGAUUUCAGAGGGAAUGUCUCUAACGUUGCAGUUAAGUAUCAUGUAAGCUUUAGGCCUGAGAUAGAUCUUUUAUCCAGUUAAAGGAAUAUUUGUCUGUUCUUAAGUUUUAUAAGGAAUUAGUUCUGCAUUUGAUUAAAUGUCUUUCAAGUAUUUCUUUGAAUUGUUGACAGCAGAUACAUAUUCUUUUUUUUUGUUUUGUUUUGAGACUGAGUCUUGCUCUGUCGCCCAGGCUGGAGCGCAGUG